rnacentral:lncRNA from 1 species
UUGCACGUUCCCUCUGCUUCGAAACGCUUGCUAUCUGUCAAUAAGUUUUGUCAAGACAAUAAUGUAUACUUUGAAUUUCAAAAGGCUUUAUCAAAAGGAUGACCAUAUAUGAUCAACAAAACAAUUUGGUUAAUUAAAACUUAAAACAAUACCAUUUCGCCCAUUUAACUCUUUCAUCAUUAUCAAUUCUCAAAUAGGUAACUGCUUGACUUAAACAAAUCUAAAUCUAUUCCCAACUAUAAAUAUAGUUAAAGAACCUUAAUCAGUUUUGAGGGUGGAAACUAAGCUUUAUUAUUCAAUUCAACUUUUCUAACAUACUGGAUCGUCAAAACAGAAAUUACAGUUUAUCUUCUCAUAUAUCUUACCUUUACUUGGAAAUCAGCAACUCUUUAUAGUAAAACUAUGAGAUAUCUAAGCUAAAGCUUCCACAAAAUUCUUAGGGAAAGAAAAACUGAUUUGCAGGCAAAUUUCCCAAAUAAACAACCCUAUACCAAUUGAAUUGUCCAUCCUAACCAGUUUGAUGGCAUGCAUAGUCAUGUUUAAUAAUCAAAACUGUAUGCCAAUCAAAUUUACUAUAAUGUAUAAUCCACUCAGCAUAUUUUACAGAUAUGGGUUUGGAGAAGCUUACUCACUCCAAACCAGAAGUCACAGAGAUAGCAGAAUCAAAAAGAUCAGAUCCAAAAGGCCCAACUCUUGCUUUCUCUACCCGUGAUCCAUCAUUUGCAAUCCAGUCUAAUAGCACCCUUUUGCUUUGCCAAUUAGCUGUAUUUUGCUUGCCAAUUUACCCAAUUCGCAUACUGAGUAUUACCUUUGUUACCUUGCUCAAUUCGCAGACUGUAGCAUUCGUCGAUUUGCUGUAGGUUCUAGCCAAUUUACCCAAUUCGCAGACUCGUAUUACCUUUGUUACAGACUGUAGCAUUCGCCGAUUAGCCAAUUUCUCCAAUACGAGCCAAUUCGCAGACUCGUAUUACCUUUGUUACCUUUUCCCGUGGAUUUUGAGUUAAUAUCCGUCCGCUAGUAUGCUAGCACAUUGUUUCUGCUGUCUUGGCUUAGUAGGAGGGAAUAAGCGUCUUAAUAUUUGGUUAAUCACGUCCGCUAGACAGUCCUCAAUCAGAUCUCACCCAUUCAUUAAUUACAUGGAUGGUAUAGAUACUAUAUGCCACUUUUUAAAUCAUAAUAAAUAGAUGCUAUAUAUAUAUAUAUAUAUAUAUAUACUCUUGGUAGAAUAUGUGCAAGCUACUUCCCAAACUAGGUGUAUUAAUUGAAAAGAAAAAAAAACAAGAUUUGUAGAAGAUUUGCAGUUUUGUAAAAACAAGUAACCAAUAUGUAUUAGCAAUUUAGCACUCAAAGUAAUACUUGGACACAGGAGAAUUUAUCUUAAAAUGUCGUGUAGAAAAUUUGCACCAUAUGUCGCACUGUCUGGUGUUGAAGUUGCAUCCUAGAC